GUAGGGGGGCAAGCGUUGUCCGGGAAUUAUUGGGGCGUAAAGCGCGCGCAGGCGGUCAUGUAAGUCUGGUGGUUUAAUCCCGGGGGGGCUCAACCCCGGGAUCGCACUGGAAACUGUGUGACUUGAGUGCAGAAGAGGAGAGUGGAAUUCCACGUGUAGCGGUGAAAUGCGUAGAGAUGUGGAGGAACACCAGUGGCGAAGGCGACUCUCUGGGCUGUAACUGACGCUGAGGCGCGAAAGCGUGGGGAGCAAACAGGAUUAGAUACCCUGGUAGUCCACGCCGUAAACGAUGAGUGCUAGGUGUUAGGGGUUUCGAUACCCUUGGUGCCGAAGUUAACACAUUAAGCACUCCGCCUGGGGAGUACGGUCGCAAGACUG
rnacentral:rRNA from 1 species